GAAGUGGAGUGCAGAAACUUAACCAUUAUGCCACUGGGCUGGCCCCAAAUCAUUUAUUUUGUAGAUGAAGGUUCAAAGAGAUAAAAUAUAUUUCCUGAAGUUAUAGAACAAGUUAGUGGUAGAAGAACCAUUAUUAAAACCCAAUAGUUAAUUCCCCAUGUUGGCUUUUUGCCAUUAAGUGUUUUCCCUGUCAAUCAAAACUCCUUGCAUUCUAAAAUAUGCAUCUCUUAGUAGUGGUCAUUUCUGGGCAGUUGUAUUUUAAAUGACUUUUUUCCCUACUGUUUAUCAUUGUUUUCUGAUUUUUCUCCAUUUAAUAUAAGGGGGAAAGAUUUUAAUGGUUAUAAUACUUUAAAAUAAUCCACAAAUGUUUAAAACUUGUUUUUGUGAAAUGUAAAUUCUUGUAAUAUUUGAAUUGAUUUAAUCACUACUGGAAAGAUAAAAGAAAAUUAUCAGGUGUGUUCUAGUGAGCUUAGAAAGCAUUGCACACUAAGGACCUUUUCUUCAAUUAGAGGAGGUGUUCUUCUUAUGGUCACUGUGCUUGUGUUUGUAUUCCAAACAUUUUAUUGAACUAUGAAAUUAAUAACCAGAUUCUGCGGAUUAUAUAUACAUUUUCAGAAAGGUCAUUAGUAUUAUAAAAAUAUGUUAUUAUGCUGAUAAGAAACAGUCUGUAUUCUAAAGUCUUUAAUACAGCAGCAAUAGUAAUUAACUUUACACUCUGGAAGUGCUUUUCUCAAACAAGCUUAAAGUUUCAGGGGUGACAAAGAAAGCACAAAGCUUUGAGUAGGAUCUUUGUCAUACUUUUAGUUUCCUUUUCUGAAAUAACUCUUUUGACUCUUCCGUUGUAUUUUUCACACUGGAUUUUGAUCAUUUUUCUUUUCCUUAAACUGUAGUGAAUUAAGAAUAUCAUACUUAGUAUUUUAUAAAAUUUUAUAAUGUUAGAUAAAUUUAUAUCCUGUAAUACUCUUACUGUUCACAUGGUAAAUGGGAUCUGGAGAAAUUAGGCUGUUGCCCACUGGUCAUGUCGUGUGUCAGUUAAUUCUAGAGGUAAGGACGGGUUAGAACGCAGGGCUUUCAUCCUGUCAACACACUGUGCUGAAGCUUUCUCACUCGGCUAAGGUCUUAAUAAUGUUUUGAGACAAAGACAGAUUUUUAACAAGUUUUUCUGUUGAUAGUUUAUCCUAUUCCAAUAAAUUUUUAUCUUGUUUUAGAUGAGCUACUUUUGCCUCAUAUGAAAAAAAUAGAUAGCAUGCUGAAUGAUAAUCAAAAGAGACUUCUUUUGAAUCUCCAUUUGGAUCAGUCAUCAAGAGUGCUUUGGAAAGUUUUCCUGAACUAACAAUAAUUACUCGAGACUCUAAAGCAAAAAGUAAGGGAUCUGCCAUUUCUAAAAUCAAAAUGAAUGGCAGAGCUUAUAAGAAGAAAACUAUAAGGACUUCUAAGACAACCACUAAAUCUGCACAAGAGUUUGCUGUUGAUCCAGAGAAAAUACAGUUGUAUUCUUUAUAUCAUUCACUGCAUCAUUAUAAAUAUCAUGUUUAUCUCAUAUGUAAAGAUGAGAUUUCUUCUGUGCAGAAAAGAAAUGAAGAUUUAGGAUAGGAAGAAAUUGUUCAACUUUGUAUGAAAAAUGUAAAAUGGGUGGAAGACCUAUUUGAAAAAUUUGGAGAACUUCUAAAUCAUGUUCAGCAGAAAUGUUCCUAACAAUUUCCACAAAAGUGCCAUCUAUUUUGUAGCACUAAUGAGAUGGCAGAGAGGGGUGAUCAAAGAGGGUCUGGGGCCUCAGAUAAUCGAAUAUCAAGCUGUGGUCUCCUGCAGGCCCGCCUGUUCCGAUCAGGGAACUGGCAUCGUGACCUCUGCUGAAGGACAGUGGUGCUGACAAGGAAUGAAUUCAGUCCUUUGGAAGUGGACCUAAAUCCCACGACAUUUGUAUCCUAAUGAAUGAUUUUUCUAUUUUGUAAACCAUUGGGUAACUGAGUUUUAUUUUCAGAAAUGUUUUUUGACAAACGAUGAAGCAGGCACUAAAUACAAUUUUUCUUUAUUGCUAGAGAGAUAACACUUAAGUAACUUGAUAAUUUUUUCCUCACUCUGACUAAACACCAGGAUGAAAGAAAGCCUAUGUUUGCAUUCAUGUCUGGCCAUGAAACAGAAAGUAUUGUACGUUAUGAAAACAGAUCUGGUGUGAUGUGACAUUGUGUACGAUAUCAACAGUUUAAAAUAUGAAAUUCAGAAACCAUGUUCUGCUUUACAAACUCCUUUUGCUCUUAACAUGUUCAGGAAACUGGAUGUGGAAUUGGUGCAAUUCUAUGACUGCUUUUCGUGUCAAAUUAUGUUGUGAUGAAAAAAGCAAUGACAUACUAUUUUCCCUAUCUCAAAGAAAAGUAUUUUCCUUUAUACAUUUUUUCCUUUGGAAAAAUUUUUAGUCGUACAUUUUAUUUCACUAAUAGUUGUAUUGUUCACAAGGAAAGUGUUGUGGUUGUAAUUAUGUUUGAUGUAUCUGUACUACACUUUUCAUUAUUUUCAGUAAAUCUUAUUUAGGUAUAUAUUGAAUUUCUAUUGUGAGUUCUAUCUUGAGGUAACCAUUUUUGUUUAUACAGGUUUCCUUCAGUGUUAUCCAGAAUAUGCAUAUAGUACUAGAAUUAGUUUAGCUUUAUAAAUGGGGCUGUGUUAGACACUGCAGUAAUUUCCUGAUUCAUGAAAAUAAAUUUCUUACUAAAUUAGCACUUAACUGAUUUAUCAAAAUAAAAAUCUAACCACAUUAUACAUUUUGAAGAAUAAAUGUUUAGUAGACCUCAUGCAGUGUUAAACACAGCUUACCUAACUGAGAACUGGAAGUGGUGGAGCUCUCCUUUGGGUGCCUUUCCAACCUUUAGAUGUAUAUCGUAGCCUUCUUUAGUUCGAUAGCUAGUGUUUUGAGUCGUUUAGCUGAGACAGUGAACGUAUUAGGUUCAACGUGACCUUGUAUUUUAUUUGUGUUUGCCAACAGGAUGCCUUAUUUGUUUGAGAAAAAGAUUUACUAGUGUCCUUCUAAAUGAUCUCCUUUUUUAGGAUUCCUAAGAUGUUGUUAAUCAUCCUACUUGUUUAUUUUACCACCAUUUAGUGCCUUAAGUCCUAUCCAGAAAGCAGUGUUAACUGCUUAAUGCCCAAAUAAGAAUGCGUAUGUGGAUAUUGCUGUUGUCUUGAUUUUGAGUUAAUAGGUCAACUUCUAAUAGCUAAAACCUCAAUAAACUGCCAAAGAAUUGAAGGUAACACAUGACUCAAUUUGAGAAUGAAACCUUGUAGCAUUGGGUGAAAAAUCAGUCUUUGAGGUAAACUUAACAUAUUUGUUUCUGAUGGUUAUCUUUUUAAGAGCAAUAAUCCUUAAUCCAACAAUCCUUGUACCUGCCUUUAGACAGGAUACUCAAUAACAGCAGUUUCUCUCAAGGGUUAACUGUUCGAUUUCUGAAAGUUUAAAACAAAAAAAACCGUUUAGGCAGCUUAUUUAGAAAACAAAAGUAACUUAUUUGAUUCAUUUUGCCUAACUCAAGUGAGAGAAUAUCAGCAAUGAGCAUCAUAACAAUUAAUUUUGCUAAAUGGAGAAAAGUAGGAAGCAGCCGUAUUUCUUUCUGAUAUUGACUUUGGCUAGAAUUGGUUGCUUUCGUUUCCAAAGUGCACAGCAGAUACUGCAUCUCCUAAUGUAGUGUUACAAGUCUUUAUGUUACUCCCCCAGCUUACUUUCCUGAAUCAUUGUUGGUUUAAAUAUUUUAAAAAGUCGUCUUGCAUUUAGGGUAACUCUUGAAGUACCUGUUUGAAACCACUAGCCACAUUUUCUUCAUGAUAAGACCCUUAGGAAAUAGAGAUGUUUCUUGUAGAAAAUAACCCAUUUCCUUUUCAACUACAGUUGCCCUCCAACUGUUUGCAGUUGAAUUCAUUUUAGUAAAACAAGUGUUUUUGUGAUAUCAGAGGCCAAGUCUAUAGGACUGCCUGGAGGAGACCUGGUUGUAACUUUGCACCAUCCUCUGUCAUGUGAUCCACGUAGCAAAGACAGACAUCAAAUUCCAGGCCUUAGAGAAAAGUGCGACACUUAUGACAGCUAUACAUGAGUCUGUCCUUGGGGAUGAUGUCAAAUACCUAGCUGGUUAGCCUUCACAGUCCUUGCCAGGCAGUUUGAGAUUUAUAAUAGAAAUAACUUAAGGUGGUGGAUUGAGUCAAAGAGGUAAAGCACAUGUUGCAAAACCCAGGAAAACAUUUUUAAGAAAGAUUUGAUUUUCCUACCUUCUGAUAUCAGAAAACAAUUUUGUAUAAAAAAUCAUUCUGUGUUGGUGUUUAUUUCUAGUUCAUAUUACUGUUUGGAGAAGCAAGCAGGCUCCUGCUUUUCAUUUGCACGAUAACCAGUUUCCACUACCUGAGCCUCUAUUGAAGUCAUAAAUUUAUAAUGAUUUAUGAAUUAUCAUAGUAGUUCAACAAUAGAAGCUGCCCAUUUUUCUAUUACACUUUCAAAUAGAAAACAUUGGUAAGAUGGGAAAACUUUAAUUAUAAUGGCUUAAAAAAUGUGCAGAUUAUCUUUAAAUUUCUAAAUUUCUUUAAAUUUCUAAAAUUUAAAACAUAGAGGAUUCAUACAUUAUUACUGUUUUCAAAGCUUUCAUCAUAUUUUUAAAAUCCUUACUUUCUUUUUAAUAUGUAUAUUUAUUUUUUUUAAAGCAGCUAUUUCCCAGCCUAUGACUUUGGAGAUAUAUCCAUAAACCAAUAUAGCAGCAGGGUUAUUGAAUCAGCUUUGGGUCUCAAGAGUUGCUUCAGAUGUACACGUUUGUGAAUUUUAUUGUAUUUGUAGAAUACAUUUUUUUUAAAGAUAUAGUUCCAUCUGUUUCUCAAGACUGCUUUUCAGAUAGAGUGACAUAUCCCAGGAUGACUGCUUCUAAUUAUGUCAGUCGCACUUGACACAUAACUGCACAAAUGAACAAUGUACGCUUUUGGUUGGGCAUUAACUUAUGUGUACAACCUUUGGCAUCUGUGUUCACAAAUGCAUGUUUUUGAAAAUCACCUUUCUUUAUAAAUGACAAUAAUUGAAGUUAAGGACACAAAGAAACUUGCAUUUGUAGUCCAGAAUUUUAAGUGGUCCAUAAUACGACGUAUGGAAAUUGGAAAUGUGAAGGACAGUUUUGUAUAUUUGUUACUAACUCAGAUCAUUAAAAUUAAAACAAUUUUUUAAACAACAAAA